rnacentral:misc_RNA from 1 species
GUUGCGCCGAUCAGUUGUGUCUUGUGCGUUGUGCGGUGAAGUUGCGCCUUCGUUCUGAAACCUGAAAAGCUGAGCAUCAGAACCUCUGGACAUCUGAGCCUCUGAACAUCUCAACAUCUGAACAUCAGAACGUCUGAAAAUCCAGCAGAUACUCGGACCGUGCGGUGCAUCCUUCUACAGACUCAGACCGAGAUCCGAUUCCAGCCGUAGCCUUCUACCCCACAAAUCGCCACUUUCGAGAUGAGAGAAAUUGUGCACCUGCAGGCUGGCCAGUGCGGCAACCAAAUCGGCGCUAAGUUCUGGGAGAUCAUUUCCGAGGAGCACGGCAUCGACAGCAAUGGCAUCUACGUGGGCGACAGUGAUCUGCAGCUGGAGCGCGUUAGUGUCUACUACAACGAGGCAUCGGUCACGCGGUCGUCGGGCGGCAAGUACGUGCCCAGGGCCAUCCUGCUCGAUCUGGAGCCCGGAACCAUGGAGUCGGUGCGGUCCGGUCCCUACGGACAGCUCUUCCGGCCGGACAACUUCGUGUACGGCCAGUCGGGAGCGGGCAACAACUGGGCCAAGGGUCACUACACCGAGGGCGCCGAGCUGGUGGACAAUGUUCUGGACGUGGUCCGCAAGGAGUGCGAGAACUGCGACUGCCUGCAGGGCUUCCAACUGACGCACUCGCUGGGCGGCGGCACUGGUUCCGGAAUGGGCACCCUGCUGAUCUCGAAGAUCCGCGAGGAGUACCCCGAUCGCAUAAUGAACACCUACUCGGUGGUGCCCUCGCCCAAGGUGUCGGACACCGUGGUGGAGCCCUACAACGCCACCCUGUCGAUCCACCAGCUGGUGGAGAACACAGACGAGACGUACUGCAUCGACAACGAGGCGCUGUACGACAUCUGCUUCAGGACGCUGAAGGUGUCCAAUCCCAGCUACGGAGACCUCAACCACCUGGUCUCGCUGACCAUGUCCGGGGUGACCACCUGCCUGCGCUUCCCCGGCCAGCUGAACGCCGAUCUGCGCAAGCUGGCGGUCAACAUGGUUCCAUUCCCGCGUCUGCACUUCUUCAUGCCCGGAUUCGCCCCGCUCACCUCGCGGGGAUCGCAGCAGUACCGCGCCCUGACCGUUCCCGAGCUGACCCAGCAGAUGUUCGACGCCAAGAACAUGAUGGCCGCCUGUGAUCCGCGCCACGGUCGCUACCUCACGGUGGCCGCCGUCUUCCGGGGCCGCAUGUCCAUGAAGGAGGUGGACGAGCAGAUGCUGGCGGUGCAGAACAAGAACAGCUCCUACUUCGUCGAGUGGAUCCCGAACAACGUGAAGACCGCGGUGUGCGACAUCCCGCCGAAGGGCCUGAAGAUGUCCUCCACGUUCAUCGGCAACACCACGGCCAUCCAGGAGCUGUUCAAGCGGAUCUCCGAGCAGUUCUCGGCCAUGUUCCGGCGCAAGGCCUUCCUCCACUGGUACACCGGCGAGGGCAUGGACGAGAUGGAGUUCACCGAGGCGGAGAGCAACAUGAACGACCUGGUCUCCGAGUACCAGCAGUACCAGGAGGCCACCGCCGACGACGAGUUCGACCCGGAGGUCAAUCAGGAGGAGGUCGAGGGCGAUUGUAUUUAAUGGUGUGGCCAGAGGAAUGAGGGGCGUGCGUGACGGCGGGGGGGAUAGGGAUGUCCGCUUUCUGCGCGGCAUGCGCCACCAGCUGGCGGCCAAGCACUGCAGCAUCCUGUGACCCCCGCCGUUGGACACACACACACACAGACACAGACG